GCCAAGGUAGCUCAGCUGGUAGAGCGACGCACUGAAAAUGCGUAGGUCCCCAGUUCGACCCUGGGCCUUGGCA
rnacentral:tRNA from 1 species